rnacentral:rRNA from 1 species
AUGGCGGCUGGAGAAGGCAAACUGAGUACGGAGGCCAACGUUAACUCCGACACUACAAUGAGCAGCAAGGACUACCUGGACCCUCCUCCGACGCCGCUGCUGGACGCCGGCGAGCUGGGCAAGUGGUCCUUGUACCGGGCCACCAUUGCCGAGUUCACCGCCACACUCCUCUUCGUCUACGUCGCCGUGGCCACCGUCAUCGGCCACAAGCGCCAGACCGACGCCGAGGCGUGCAGCGGCGCCGGCGUGCUGGGCAUCGCGUGGGCCUUCGGCGGCAUGAUCGCCGUCCUGGUCUACUGCACCGCCGGCAUCUCCGGCGGCCACAUCAACCCCGCGGUCACCUUCGGGCUGCUGCUGGCGAGGAAGGUGUCGCUUCCCAGAGCCUUCCUCUACAUGGCGGCGCAGUGCCUCGGCGCCAUCUGCGGCGCCGCCAUGGUCAGGGCCGUGCACGGCGCGCACCACUACGCGCUCUACGGCGGCGGCGCCAACGAGGUCGCGCCGGGGUACUCCAAGGCGGGGGCGCUGCUGGCCGAGGCCGCCGGCACAUUCGUUCUCGUGUACACCGUGUUCUCGGCGACCGACCCGAAGCGCAUGGCGAGGGACUCCCACGUGCCGGUGCUGGCGCCGCUGCUCAUCGGGUUCGCCGUGCUGAUGGCGCAUCUGGCCACCAUCCCCGUCACCGGCACCGGGAUCAACCCGGCGAGGAGCCUUGGGGCCGCCGUGGUGUACAAUGGGAAGAAGGCGUGGGCCGAUCAGUGGAUCUUCUGGGUCGGGCCUUUGGCGGGCGCCACCGUCGCCAUGGCCUACCACCAGUACGUCCUCAGGAACGGCGCCGCCAAGCACUCCUUCGGCUCCAACCACCACGACGUCGAAGCCUAG